GACGAACGCUGGCGGCGUGCUUAACACAUGCAAGUCGAGCGGUAAGGCCCUUUCGGGGGUACACGAGCGGCGAACGGGUGAGUAACACGUGGGUGACCUGCCCUCAGCUCUGGGAUAAGCCCGGGAAACUGGGUCUAAUACCGGAUAUGACUCCAUGACGCAUGUUGUGGGGUGGAAAGCCUUGUGCGGCUGAGGAUGGGCCCGCGGCCUAUCAGCUUGUUGGUGGGGUGAUGGCCUACCAAGGCGACGACGGGUAGCCGGCCUGAGAGGGCGACCGGCCACACUGGGACUGAGAUACGGCCCAGACUCCUACGGGAGGCAGCAGUGGGGAAUCUUGCGCAAUGGGCGAAAGCCUGACGCAGCGACGCCGCGUGAGGGAUGACGGCCUGGU
rnacentral:rRNA from 1 species